rnacentral:rRNA from 1 species
GGUGAGCGCUGGCGGCGUGCCUAAUACAUGCAAGUCGAGCGAAUGGAUUAAGAGCUUGCUCUUAUGAAGUUAGCGGCGGACGGGUGAGUAACACGUGAGUAACCUGCCCAUAAGACUGGGAUAACUCCGGGUAACCGGGGCUAAUACCGGAUAACAUUUUGAACCGCAUGGUUCGAAAUUGAAAGGCGGCUUCGGCUGUCACCUAUGGAUGGACCCGCGUCGCAUUAGCUAGUUGGUGAGGUAACGGCUCACCAAGGCAACGAUGCGUAGCCGACCUGAGAGGGUGAUCGGCCACACUGGGACUGAGACACGGCCCAGACUCCUACGGGAGGUAGCAGUAGGGAAUCUUCCGCAAUGGACGAAAGUCUGACGGAGCAACGCCGCGUGAGUGAUGAAGGCUUUCGGGUCGUAAAACUCUGUUGUUAGGGAAGAACAAGUGCUAGUUGAAUAAGCUGGCACCUUGACGGUACCUAACCAGAAAGCCACGGCUAGCUACGUGCCAGCCGCCGCAGUAA